rnacentral:snoRNA from 1 species
AUGCCCGGUGAUUAUAAAAGACGCGUUAUUCUGAGGGUUCCACCUGCCGUCAGUCCUGUCUCUACACUUUAACUCUCUCUCUUCUAAACCUCAGACUGUUUCUCCGCUCUCUCUCCUCUCUCUCUCUGUUCUGGCUCAAACUGGCGGCCGGUCCGCUGAUUGCGAUUAUGAGACAUGAGGGCAU